rnacentral:rRNA from 1 species
GUGUCAGCAGCCGCGGUAAUACAGAGGGUGCGAGCGUUGUCCGGAAUUACUGGGCGUAAAGGGCGCGUAGGCGGUUCGAUAAGUCGGGGGUGAAAUGCUGCGGCUCAACCGGAGCAUGGCCUUCGAGACUGUCGGGCUGGAGCACGGUAGAGGCUGGCGGAAUUCCUGGUGUAGCGGUGGAAUGCGUAGAGAUCAGGAAGAACACCGGUGGCGAAGGCGACCAGCUGGGCCGUUGCUGACGCUGAGGCGCGACAGCGUGGGGAGCAAACAGGAUUAGAUACCCCCGUAGUCC